GACAGAGGGUGCAAACGUUGUUCGGAAUUACUGGGCGUAAAGCGCAUGUAGGCUGCUUGGAAAGUCGGGUGUGAAAGCCCUGGGCUCAACCCAGGAAGUGCACUCGAAACUUCCAAGCUCGAGUCCUGGAGAGGGUGGCGGAAUUCUCGGUGUAGAGGUGAAAUUCGUAGAUAUCGGGAGGAACACCAGUGGCGAAGGCGGCGACCUGGGCCAAUAUUGACGCUGAGGUGCGAAAGCGUGGGGAGCAAACAGG
rnacentral:rRNA from 1 species